UACGUAGGGGGCAAGCGUUGUCCGGAAUUAUUGGGCGUAAAGAGCUCGUAGGCGGUUUGUCGCGUCUGCUGUGAAAACCCGAGGCUCAACCUCGGGCCUGCAGUGGGUACGGGCAGACUAGAGUGCGGUAGGGGAGAUUGGAAUUCCUGGUGGUAGCGGUGGAAUGCGCAGAUAUCAGGAGGAACACCGAUGGCGAAGGCAGCUCGCUGGGACGGUACUGACGCUGAGGCGCGAAAGCGUGGGGAGCGA
rnacentral:rRNA from 1 species